UGCCUGCAAGAAACCCACUUUGUAUAUAAAGAUAUCCAGGCUGAGUUUCCCUUACCCCAAAUGCUCACUACUGUCAGUUUAGAUUUUAAAGGCCAGGAGAGUGAUAAGAGCAGGGAAGAAAGGGAGGAAGAGAUUUAGGAGGCUGUGAAGGGAAGACAAGGAUUUGGGAAGAAGGUUCCAGCGUGACUUAGACCUGCUUAGACAUAGGAUUCCUGAGUUCACUCUGUCUUGUAACUCUCCUAUUCACAGGCUGAAACUAAAUCCCCAAAGGAGCUCCAGAAAGCUAUCAUUUAAAGUUAGGCCACUAAUUUCCUAUAACUAAGAGAUAAUUAUAAAAAGAAUUUGCUAACCUUCCCAGAAAAUACACCUUUAGCUAAAGUUAGUCUUGUAACCUAAGAGGGUAAUAAUUUGGGUAGGACACAGAUAGAACCAGAAAUAUCUCAGGCCAAAUCCUAUUCUUAAAUAACUAACUUCUAAG
rnacentral:lncRNA from 1 species